AGACUCCUUCCGGGGAACGAUAACGGUGUCGAGCGGCGGACGGGUGAGUAAUGCCUGGGAAAUUGCCCUGAUGUGGGGGAUAACCAUUGGAAACGAUGGCUAAUACCGCAUAAUAGCUUCGGGUCAAAGAGGGGGACCUUCGGGCCUCUCGCGUCAGGAUAUGCCCAGGUGGGAUUAGCUAGUUGGCGAGGUAAGGGCUCACCAAGGCGACGAUCCCUAGCUGGUCUGAGAGGAUGAUCAGCCACACUGGAACUGAGACACGGUCCAGACUCCUACGGGAGGCAGCAGUGGGGAAUAUUGCACAAUGGGCGCAAGCAUGAUGCAGCCAUGCGGCGUGUAUGAAGAAGGCCUUCGGGUUGUAAAGUACUUUCAGCAGGUGAGGAAGGUGGAUACGUUAAUAGAGAGCUCGUUUGACGUUAGCUGCAGAAGAAGCACCGGCUAACUCCGUGCCAGCAGCCGCAGUAAUACGGAGGGUGCGAGCGUUAAUCGGAUUAUUGGGCGUAAAGCGCAUGCCGGUGGUUUUGUUAAGUCAGAUGUGAAAGCCCAGGGGCUCAACCUCGGAAUUGCAUUUUGAAACUGGGCAGACUAGAGUACUGUAGAGGGGGGUAGAAUUUUCAGGUGUAAGCGGUGAAAUGCGUAGAGAUCUGAAGGGAUUCCCGGUGGGCGAAGGCGGCCCCCCUGGACAGAUACUGACACUCAAGAUGCGAAAAGCGGGGGGGGGCAAACAGGAUUAGGAUACCCUGGUAAUCCCACGCCCGUAAACGAUGGUCUACUUGGAGGUUGGGGCCCUGGAGCCGGGGCUUUUCGGAGCUAACGCGUUAAGUAGACCCGCCUGGGGGAGUACGGGCGCAAGAAUAAAACUCAUAUGAUUUGACGGGGGGCCCCCCCAAAGCGGGGAGAACAUGUGGUUUAAAAUCCCGAGCCACCCCGAAAAACCUUUACCUAUUCCUUGAAAACCAAAGAAAGCCCAGCGAAAUAGCAGGUAUUGCCCUACGGGAAGCCCUCUAAAAAAAGGUCCCCGCAUGCUCUGUCCUACGAGACAGGGAUUUGUAAAAUGCUGGGAGUAAAGUUCCCCCGAAAAACGGACGCCAAACCCUUUUAUCUCUUGUGUUUGCCCGACCCAACUUUCGGAGAGUGAUACUCCACCGAGGGAGAACUACUCGCCGUGGUAGAAUAUACUGCAGAAGGAAGAGUGCAGUCACGAUGCGUGAAGUUACAUCAUAUGUGUCCCUUAUCGACGAUGAUUGAGUCUAUCCAUGCAG
rnacentral:rRNA from 1 species